rnacentral:rRNA from 1 species
UGGGGAAUAUUGGACAAUGGGCGAAAGCCUGAUCCAGCAAUGCCGCGUGAGUGAUGAAGGCCUUAGGGUUGUAAAGCUCUUUUACCCGGGAAGAUAAUGACUGUACCGGGAGAAUAAGCCCCGGCUAACUCCGUGCCAGCAGCCGCGGUAAUACGGAGGGGGCUAGCGUUGUUCGGAAUUACUGGGCGUAAAGCGUACGUAGGCGGCUUUGUAAGUUAGAGGUGAAAGCCCGGGGCUCAACCCCGGAAUUGCCUUUAAGACUGCAUCGCUUGAAUCGCGGAGAGGUGAGUGGAAUUCCGAGUGUAGAGGUGAAAUUCGUAGAUAUUCGGAAGAACACCAGUGGCGAAGGCGGCUCACUGGACGCGUAUUGACGCUGA